GAUGAACGCUGGCGGCGUGCCUAAUACAUGCAAGUCGAGCGAACAGACGAGGAGCUUGCUCCUCUGACGUUAGCGGCGGACGGGUGAGUAACACGUGGAUAACCUACCUAUAAGACUGGGAUAACUUCGGGAAACCGGAGCUAAUACCGGAUAAUAUAUUGAACCGCAUGGUUCAAUAGUGAAAGACGGUUUUGCUGUCACUUAUAGAUGGAUCCGCGCCGCAGUAGCUAGUUGGUAAGGUAACGGCUUACCAAGGCGACGAUGCGUAGCCGACCUGAGAGGGUGAUCGGCCACACUGGAACUGAGACACGGUCCAGACUCCUACGGGAGGCAGCAGUAGGGAAUCUUCCGCAAUGGGCGAAAGCCUGACGGAGCGACGCCGCGUGAGUGAUGAAGGUCUUCGGAUCGUAAAACUCUGUUAUUAGGGAAGAACAAAUGUGUAAGUAACUAUGCACGUCUUGACGGUACCUAAUCAGAAAGCCACGGCUAACUACGUG
rnacentral:rRNA from 1 species